UACAGAGGGGGCAAGCGUUGUUCGGAAUUACUGGGCGUAAAGGGCGCGUAGGCGGGCUGCCAAGUCCGUAGGUGAAAUCCCCCGGCUCAACCGGGGAACGGCCUCGGAUACUGGCGGCCUGGAGGGGGGUAGGGGCGUGCGGAACUGUGGGUGGAGCGGUGAAAUGCGUUGAGAUCCACAGGAACUCCGGUGGCGAAGGCGGCACGCUGGACCCUUUCUGACGCUGAGGCGCGAAAGCCAGGGGAGCGAACGGG
rnacentral:rRNA from 1 species